AAGUCGUAACAAGGUUUCCGUAGGUGAACCUGCGGAAGGAUCAUUAACACGUAUCCAAACGUUAAAACCCCCCUGUGAACCUUCACCACUUCUUAAGCGCUCCCGGGGGUAGAGCAGGCAAUCCCUAGUAAAUCAUUGUCUUAACAGGUUUUGAGUUAGGGACGUCCCCCACUACGGGACUUGUGCAGAAGAGAGUAUACAGGGCCUCCAGCGAGCGUUGACUGCACAAUUCACCAAACACUUUAAGAUUGAUGGUUGCUUGGGGACCGGGGCCAUUACCACGACCUACUACGUGGCCUACGUCACCCCCCCGAGCAUGGCAAGCGGACGCGCCGAAACCACCCCUAAAACCGAACAACUGUUAACAAUGGAUAUCUUGGUUCUC
rnacentral:misc_RNA from 1 species